GGGUGGCACCGCGACAGUCGCGUCCCGGGGGCCUCGUCCUCGCCACCUCCCCGCUGCGGGCCGGGGCACUCGGGGCUUCCUGCCCUCAGAACUGUGCCCUGGGUGUGCACGUGGGGCCGAGGGUCCCCUGGCCUGGGCGAGGGUGCAGGGACCCGAAACUGGGUGACUCUUCCCGGUCCCGGUGUGGCUGUCCUGUAACCAUGACGACUGCGGGCUUUGGCACGUGGAUGUGGAUGCAGAGCCUGAAGGCAGGGAUUGGGCAGGUGGUGCAGGGUGAGGGGCCCCUGGGGACGGACCUGCUGGGAGCUGCAGCUGCCCCGAGCUGGGCUCCCUGUGCGUGGUGACAGGGCCUUUGCAGCUGGGGACCAGGUGAUGGACGGUCAGGGGCGGGGAGGGGCCUUGUCCGUGGGCAGGGAGCACAGGAAGUCGAUGUGGGCGAGAUAGGAAGAGCUGAGAGGCCGCAGAGGCGUUAAAUGGCUCCGACUGACUGGGCGGCCACACUCGGAUGGAAUUUACCCAUUUAGGAAGUUUCCCACUUCAGGACAGGACGUUUGUCGAACACCUGUUGUGUCCCAUGUGCUUUGUACAGUAGCAGGAUUAAUAAUCCUUGCAAUGGCCCCCACAUGUUAUUACUCUCUUCUUGAUGCAAGAGGGAGCACCCAAGGUUUACAGUGUGUUGUCCCACUUUGGCUUUCUGUUCUAAACAGUUACAGCUCCGGAAACUCAUGUUGAUAGCUAGAUGGACUAAGCAGCCACCCUCAUUCUAAAGCUGAGGAUAGAGGGUCUGAGGUGUGGACUGCGGAGACCCUGGGUAGCAGAGUUCUGCCUGCAGGGGGUCUCUGUCGGCCACCUCAGAAAACAGCUCCCACCGAGGUGAAGACCUUUCCAGCUCCGGGGUGUGGCUGUCCCCCGAAUGGAGCGUCUCUGUGCAGGGCACGCAAGGCCUCGGGGCAUGUGGAGUCCCCGGAACUGGAACGUGUGGGCAGCGUGGGUGACCUGUGCUUGCACAGGCCUCGUUGUGUCUGUCACCUGUUGGAUCACAGGCGCUCCGACCAGGUCUGCACACCAGGAAGCAAAGGAACAUGGCUCAUUCCCAGGGAAUCCAGGAGCGUGCAGAGACUCCUGAAGAAGCAGGCACGUUGGACUACCGGCUUGAGCUUGGCUCUCCGAGCUGAGCUGAACUGCUCCCACGUUUUCUCUUCCUCUCCAGAACUAGGAAAUACAUCAUUUGAGGCAGGAGUUAAAUUUACAGGGGCGUCUCGUGGUGUGGCCCUGAUAUCACAUGCCAUGCUCCCGUGGAC
rnacentral:lncRNA from 1 species